rnacentral:rRNA from 1 species
AAGACCUUGCGCUUUUGGAGCGGCCGAUGUCUGAUUAGCUUGUUGGUGAGGUAAAAGCUUACCAAGGCUUCGAUCAGUAGCUGGUCUGAGAGGACGACCAGCCACACUGGGACUGAGACACGGCCCAGACUCCUACGGGAGGCAGCAGUGGGGAAUUUUGGACAAUGGGGGCAACCCUGAUCCAGCCAUGCCGCGUGAGUGAAGAAGGCCUUCGGGUUGUAAAGCUCUUUCAGCCGGAACGAAACGGUUACGGUUAAUACCCGUGACUACUGACGGUACCGGAAGAAGAAGCACCGGCUAACUACGUGCCAGCAGCCGCGGCAAUACGUAGGGUGCGAGCGUUAAUCGGAAUUACUGGGCGUAAAGCGUGCGCAGGUGGUUUUGUAAGUCAGAUGUGAAAUCCCCGGGCUCAACCUGGGAACU